rnacentral:rRNA from 1 species
CCUAGUGGCUGCAGUGGGGAAUAUUGGACAAUGGGCGAAAGCCUGAUCCAGCCAUGCCGCGUGUGUGAAGAAGGCCUUCGGGUUGUAAAGCACUUUCAGUGGGGAAGAAAGCCUUGGGGCUAAUACCCUCGAGGAAGGACAUCACCCACAGAAGAAGCACCGGCUAACUCCGUGCCAGCAGCCGCGGUAAUACGGAGGGUGCGAGCGUUAAUCGGAAUUACUGGGCGUAAAGCGCGCGUAGGCGGUCUGAUAAGCCGGUUGUGAAAGCCCCGGGCUCAACCUGGGAACGGCAUCCGGAACUGUCAGGCUAGAGUGCAGGAGAGGAAGGUAGAAUUCCCGGUGUAGCGGUGAAAUGCGUAGAGAUCGGGAGGAAUACCAGUGGCGAAGGCGGCCUUCUGGACUGACACUGACGCUGAGGUGCGAAAGCGUGGGUAGCAAACAGGAUUAGAUACCCGAGUAGUC